rnacentral:lncRNA from 1 species
UACCAGAACACCUACAUAGCUUAGGAAGUCCCAGCCAUAAGUAAUUGGAACAAUCUCUGCGGUGACCACAAGUACUGAGAUGGAAGUACCUGCACAGGCUGGUGCUCUGAUGAACACCCAUCAAAGGCUUCAGUAGCUGUGUUAAUGGAGUGUCCCAUCAGCUACAUUCAACUAAGCCAGUCCAAAGCCCCCAGUCCAGGCUCCUCAUAGGUGCUGUGGGGGAAAUAAGCAGCUGUGACAUCUCUCAGUACCUCCAUACCUCCCCAGAGUCUGGAUAACUGGUGUGGCAGGGGAAGUGAUCAGAGGGAGAGGAGAAAUGCUCAUAAAGCGGGCUUCUGCGGUGGGUGUGUGCAGGUUGUUUUUUUUCUUUAACCUUCCCUUCUCUUGCACAAGCACCCAGUGUGGCUUUCACUGGAGGGAAAGUGUUCCAUCUCUCAGGGGGUGUUUGAGGUUUCUGUUUAUUUGUUUAUUAAAAAAAGGAAAGCAUCUGGCAUAUGUGUACAAACAUUAAUGAAUCAUUUAAAAUAUUCUCAGUGCUGCGCUAGUGUGACUUCCAGCUAUGAGAAGAAAACGAGAUGGAAGGGAGCAGACAGACCCCAAAGGACUGCUUUCCAAGCAUAGGAUGGGGCAGCUGCUGAAUCACGCACAGAAAUGUUCCCAGGAGAGAGAGAAGAGAAUUACUUCCUCGGGCAGUAGUAGCAGCAAAGGGCAGUGUAUGGGAACUGUUGAGUCACAGCCUGAACCUCUGAUUGAUCACCUGAAGAAAGAACUGAGUCAGCCGUGGGAGCACAGGUGAAGGCAAU